AUUGAACGCUGGCGGCAUGCCUUACACAUGCAAGUCGAACGGCAGCGGGGGAGAAGCUUGCUUUUCCUGCCGGCGAGUGGCGAACGGGUGAGUAAUACAUCGGAACGUGCCCUGUAGUGGGGGAUAACUAGUCGAAAGAUUAGCUAAUACCGCACACGACCUGAGGGUGAAAGUGGGGGACCGCAAGGCCUCAUGCUAUAGGAGCGGCCGAUGUCUGAUUAGCUAGUUGGUGGGGUAAAGGCCUACCAAGGCGACGAUCAGUAGCUGGUCUGAGAGGACGAGCAGCCACACUGGGACUGAGACACGGCCCAGACUCCUACGGGAGGCAGCAGUGGGGAAUUUUGGACAAUGGGCGAAAGCCUGAUCCAGCAAUGCCGCGUGUGUGAAGAAGGCCUUCGGGUUGUAAAGCACUUUUGUCCGGAAAGAAAUGGCUCUGGUUAAUACCUGGGGUCGAUGACGGUACCGGAAGAAUAAGGACCGGCUAACUACGUGCCAGCAGCCGCCGUAACAC
rnacentral:rRNA from 1 species